rnacentral:rRNA from 1 species
CUUCCGUGGCUGUCCCGGUUUUUUCUUCGCUAUCUCUACCCUAUUUGUUUCCCUGAGGGAAUGUCUAGCUGGUAUCUGGUUCGUGAUGACCGCUGGCGGCGUGCCUAAUACAUGCGAGUCGGACGCGGUGCUUCCUAGGUUGCUGGGUGAACGGGUGAGUAACUAAUAAGCAACCUGCCCCUGUGAGGGGGAUAACUGCUGGAAACGGCAGCUAAGACCGCAUAGGCAUACAUGACGCAUGUCGAGUAUGUUAAAUAUCCUACGGGAUAGCACAGGGAUGGGCUUAUGACGCAUUAGCUAGCUGGUGAGGUAGAGGCUCACCAGGGCGACGAUGCGUAGCCGGCCUGAGAGGGUGGACGGCCACACUGGGACUGAGACACGGCCCAGACUCCUACGGGAGGCAGCAGUAGGGAAUUUUCGGCAAUGGGCGAAAGCCUGACCGAGCAACGCCGCGUGAAGGAAGAAGUCAUUCGUGAUGUAAACUUCUGUUAUAAAGGAAGAACGGCGCCUGUAGGGAAUGACAGGCGAGCGACGGUACUUUAUGAGGAAGCCACGGCUAACUACGUGCCAGCAGCCGCGGUAAUACGUAGGUGGCGAGCGUUAUCCGGAUCAUUGUGGCGUAAAGAGGGAGCAGGCGGCAGUGCAGGUCUGCGGUGAAAGCCCGAAGCUAAACUUCGGUAAGCCGUGGAAACCGCACAGCUAGAGAGCAUCAGAGGAUCGCGGAAUUCCAUGUGUAGCGGUGAAAUGCGUAGAUAUAUGGAGGAACACCAGUGGCGAAGGCGGCGGUCUGGGGUGCAGCUGACGCUCAGUCCCGAAAGCGUGGGGAGCAAAUAGGAUUAGAUACCCUAGUAGUCCACGCCGUAAACGAUGAGUGCUAAGUGUUGGGGGUCAGACCUCAGUGCUGCAGUUAACGCAAUAAGCACUCCGCCUGAGUAGUACGUUCGCAAGAAUGAAACUCAAAGGAAUUGACGGGGGCCCGCACAAGCGGUGGAGCAUGUGGUUUAAUUCGAAGCAACGCGAAGAACCUUACCAAGGCUUGACAUCCCUCUGACGUAUGCAGAGAUGUGUAUUUUCUUCGGAACAGAGGAGACAGGUGGUGCAUGGUUGUCGUCAGCUCGUGUCGUGAGAUGUUGGGUUAAGUCCCGCAACGAGCGCAACCCUUAUCUUUAGUAGCCAGCAUAAAGGUGGGCACUCUAAAGAGACUGCCGUGGAUAACACGGAGGAAGGUGGGGAUGACGUCAAAUCAUCAUGCCCCUUAUGUCUUGGGCAACACACGUGCUACAAUGGACGGAACAAAGUGAGGCGAAGCCGCGAGGUGGAGCGAAGCACAAAAACCCGUUCUCAGUUCGGAUUGUAGUCUGCAACUCGACUACAUGAAGCUGGAAUCGCUAGUAAUCGCGAAUCAGAAUGUCGCGGUGAAUACGUUCCCGGGCCUUGUACACACCGCCCGUCACACCAUGGGAGUUGGAAGCACCCGAAGCCUGUGACCCAACCCGAAAGGGAGGGAGCAGUCGAAGGUGAAGCCAGUGACUGGGGUGAAGUCGUACCAGGGUAGCCCUGUCCUCAGCGUUAUCGCCCCGGCACGCCAGGCCGGAAUCAGGGUGGAAUGCAUG